rnacentral:rRNA from 1 species
UGGUAGCUUGCUACCAGGCGUCGAGCGGCGGACGGGUGAGUAAUACUUAGGAAUCUACCUAGUAGUGGGGGAUAGCACGGGGAAACUCGUAUUAAUACCGCAUACGACCUACGGGAGAAAGGGGGCAGUUUACUGCUCUCGCUAUUAGAUGAGCCUAAGUCGGAUUAGCUAGAUGGUGGGGUAAAGGCCUACCAUGGCGACGAUCUGUAGCUGGUCUGAGAGGAUGAUCAGCCACACCGGGACUGAGACACGGCCCGGACUCCUACGGGAGGCAGCAGUGGGGAAUAUUGGACAAUGGGGGAAACCCUGAUCCAGCCAUGCCGCGUGUGUGAAGAAGGCCUUUUGGUUGUAAAGCACUUUAAGCAGUGAAGAAGACUCCGUGGUUAAUACCCACGGACGAUGACAUUAGCUGCAGAAUAAGCACCGGCUAACUCUGUGCCAGCAGCCGCGGUAAUACAGAGGGUGCAAGCGUUAAUCGGAAUUACUGGGCGUAAAGCGAGCGUAGGUGGCUUGAUAAGUCAGAUGUGAAAUCCCCGGGCUUAACCUGGGAACUGCAUCUGAAACUGUUAGGCUAGAGUAGGUGAGAGGGAAGUAGAAUUUCAGGUGUAGCGGUGAAAUGCGUAGAGAUCUGAAGGAAUACCGAUGGCGAAGGCAGCUUCCUGGCAUCAUACUGACACUGAGGCUCGAAAGCGUGGGUAGCAAACAGGAUUAGAUACCCUGGUAGUCCACGCCGUAAACGAUGUCUACUAGUCGUUGGGUCCCUUGAGGACUUAGUGACGCAGCUAACGCAAUAAGUAGACCGCCUGGGGA